rnacentral:rRNA from 1 species
GACGAGCGCUGGCGGCGUGCUUAACACAUGCAAGUCGAACGGAAAGGCCCUGCUUUUGUGGGGUGCUCGAGUGGCGAACGGGUGAGUAACACGUGAGUAACCUGCCCUUGACUUUGGGAUAGCUUCAGGAAACUGGGGCUAAUACCGGAUAGGAGCUCCUGCUGCAUGGUGGGGGUUGGAAAGUUUCGGCGGUUGGGGAUGGACUCGCGGCUUAUCAGCUUGUUGGUGGGGUAGUGGCUUACCAAGGCUUUGACGGGUAGCCGGCCUGAGAGGGUGACCGGCCACAUUGGGACUGAGAUACGGCCCAGACUCCUACGGGAGGCAGCAGUGGGGAAUAUUGCACAAUGGGCGGAAGCCUGAUGCAGCAACGCCGCGUGCGGGAUGACGGCCUUCGGGUUGUAAACCGCUUUCGCCUGUGACGAAGCGUGAGUGACGGUAAUGGGUAAAGAAGCACCGGCUAACUACGUG